rnacentral:rRNA from 1 species
UAAGUAUAAGCAAUCAUACUGUGAAACUGCGAAUGGCUCAUUAAAUCAGUUAUCGUUUAUUUGAUAGUACCUUUACCUGGAUAACCGUGGUAAUUCUAGAGCUAAUACAUGCUAACAACCCCGACUUCGGGAGGGGUGUAUUUAUUAGAUAAAAAACCAAUGCCCUUCGGGGCUCCUUGGUGAUUCAUAAUAACUUAACGAAUCGCAUGGCCUUGCGCCGGCGAUGGUUCAUUCAAAUUUCUGCCCUAUCACCUUUCGAUUGUAAGAUAGAGGCUUACAAUGGGAGCAACGGGUAACGGGGAAUAAGGGUUCUAUUCCGGAGAGGGAGCCUGAGAAACGGCUACCACAUCCAAGGAAGGCAGCAGGCGCGCAAAUUACCCAAUCCCGAUACGGGGAGGUAGUGACAAUAAAUACUGAUACGGGGCUCUUUCGGGUCUCGUAAUUGGAAUGAGUACAAUCUAAAUCCCUUAACGAGGAACAAUUGGAGGGCAAGUCUGGUGCCAGCAGCCGCGGUAAUUCCAGCUCCAAUAGCGUAUAUUAAAGUUGUUGCCGUUAAAAAGCUCGUAGUUGAACCUUGGCCCUGGCUGAUCUGUCCUCCUAAUCGAGCGCACGGAUUCGGUCGGGGCUUUCCUUCUGGGGAGCCCCAUGCCCUUCACUGGGUGUGGCGGGGAACCAGGACUUUUACCUUGAAAAAAUUAGAGUGUUCAAAGCAGGCCUUUGCUCGAAUACAUUAGCAUGGAAUAAUAGAAUAGGACAUCGGUUCUAUUUUGUUGGUUUCUAGGACCGCUGUAAUGAUUAAUAGGGACAGUCGGGGGCGUCAGUAUUCAAUUGUCAGAGGUGAAAUUCUUGGAUUUAUUGAAGACUAACUACUGCGAAAGCAUUCGCCAAGGAUGUUUUCAUUAAUCAGUGAACGAAAGUUAGGGGAUCGAAGACGAUCAGAUACCGUCGUAGUCUUAACCAUAAACUAUGCCGACUAGGGAUCGGACGGUGGUUUUUUUAUGCCCCGUUCGGCNCCUUACGAGAAAUCAAAGUUUUUGGGCUCG